UGGUGGCAUUCAAAGGACAACAUGCCUACCUGAUACAAUCUUCCUAUAGUAAAAAUUGUCAUUUCCUGCUUGUGGUAUUGUAAGCAAGUUCUGCAAGUCUCAAAUGAUAAGACAGCUUC